AGUAAUACUUCGAGUUUUGUUUCAAGCGUGAUUGAUUUUCGGCAUCUUUUAAUCGAAGUCGAUAAUUGUACUUUUGGCAUUUUUUCUAAAAAAUCACAAAACAAGUCAACAAUGAUCAUCGAAGUGAGCAACAGUGAACUUUAUUCGAAUAGAAAUUACAUUUACAUUUACAAUUUACAUUGUCUUAUAUAUAUACCGCUAUGUGUCAUACAUAAAGCACGUAUGCUGAAUGAGAUUGGCAACAUGUAGCUAUUUCGAAAAAAAAUUUUUUAUAUGUCAAGUGCCGUUAUAGCGAAACAUUUUAGACCGUAAAUCGAAAACGUGCCUUAAUUGAAGAGUGCCGUUAUAGCGAAAUGACGUAUAAAGAGCGGCCGUAUAUCGAGCGUUUUUGUCCAUUAAACCGUCACCAACAGAUGGCGUUCUAAUCUUUUACCCAUCGAAUGAUCAUAUUUUUCAAAACAAAAAAUUUUCAAACAGAAAAAUUAAUUGAUCAAAUAAAAUCAUUAUUUAUUUAUUUCG